rnacentral:rRNA from 1 species
CAGCCGCCGCGGGAAUACGUAGGUGGCGAGCGUUGUCCGGAAUUAUUGGGCGUAAAGGGAGCGCAGGCGGACAUAUAAGUCCAUCUUAAAAGUGCGGGGCUCAACCCCGUGAGGGGAUGGAAACUGUAUGCCUUGAGUGCAGGAGAGGAAAGCGGAAUUCCCAGUGUAGCGGUGAAAUGCGUAGACAUUGGGAGGAACACCAGUGGCGAAGGCGGCUUUCUGGACUGCAACUGACGCUGAGGCUCGAAAGCCAGGGGAGCGAACGGGAUUAGAUACCCCUGUAGUCCCUGUCUCUUAUACC